UCCGUAGGGGGCAAGCGUUGUCCGGAAUUACUGGGCGUAAAGGGCGCGUAGGCGGCCUUCUAAGUCGAACGUGAAAUCCCCGGGCUCAACCCGGGAACUGCGUCCGAUACUGGAAGGCUUGAAUCCGGGAGAGGGAUGUGGAAUUCCAGGUGUAGCGGUGAAAUGCGUAGAUAUCUGGAGGAACACCGGUGGCGAAGGCGACAUCCUGGACCGGUAUUGACGCUGAGGCGCGAAAGCCAGGGGAGCAAACAGG
rnacentral:rRNA from 1 species